rnacentral:rRNA from 1 species
UACGUAGGGGGCGAGCGUUAUCCGGAGUUACUGGGCGUAAAGCGCGCGUAGGCGGUCUCUUAAGUCUGAGGUGAAAGGUUCAACGCUCAACGUGAACAGUGCCUUGGAUACUGGUAGACUUGAGUGUGGCAGAGGAGUAUGGAAUUCCUGGUGUAGCGGUGAAAUGCGCAGAUAUCAGGAGGAACACCAAUAGCGAAGGCAGCUCGCUGGGACGGUACUGACGCUAAGGCGCGAAAGCGUGGGGAGCGAACAGG